GAGGAGAAAAAAUUAAUCGUCUUAGAAAAUUUCGAGAUAAUAAAAGAUCGCUGAUAUUCGUGCGAAGAAGGUAUACGGUGUACGGUACGCGGUGAGAGAUAUACGGUACGCGACUAAAUCGGUCGAGAUGAUACGCGGUCGCUUUAUGAGCACGCGCGAUCGUCUAUGCGCGAGAAAUGCGUCAAGAAUGCGCGAAGAACGCAAGAGGCGAGCCCCCAGCAUCGCGAGCCCCGAUUGGUCCCGAUUAGUCCCGAUUAGUCCCGAUUAGUGCCGAACGGACCGCGCAUUGUUGCACCGCGUCAUAACGAACUGCUACAGACGCUCGGCCCGUGUUACGGAUUCGAACUUACUUCAAUUCCCCGCCUCCAGCUUUCCGUUUUGCUUGUCAACUCCUCUAACCACGAUAAGCCGUGAAUUAUCCCAUUCUUCGCAACUCGUUCCUACAUGCUUCACACAUGCUACAUUCGAUCGGUCAAGGACACGAUAGUACGACUUUUAUCCAAUCUUAUUCUUUACAACGAAAAGAACUCGAUCUUAUGCUCGUAUUUGCGAUUCCAUAAAAGUAUAAUACCGCGAAAAAUAUAUUUCUCUUCGAGAUCUGUCGAACAAAUAAAAAAAAGAAAAAGAACAAGACAAGAGUUUCUAUCUUCGUUUCGAUUGAUAUUUUAAGAUCAAGUAUCACGAGUAGAUUUGAGAUUUGAGACAUGACAAAUUGCACAUGUCUCGUUAUCCAUAGCAAAGAGAGUAUCGUGAUACGCAUGAUACCUUCGCGACGAAAAACCAUGUGUCGGGAUUGGUCGAAAGAAGGAACGAGGAAGGGAAGGCAAAGGGAGUGUAAAGCCAAUUGCGCAUGGAAAUAGGUCGGAGCGGAGGGCUCGCGGUAUCGAGAGGGCACACGGUGACGAUGACGACAAUAAUGACAACCAGAAAGGAGCAAAAAUUUUGUAAUGCAUUCCUUCUGAUUCUCGUACGAUCGAAUUAUCAAACAGAAAAAAGAUAUCAUGUAUACAUGAUAUAUGACAAAAUGGAAGAUUAAGAUAUACAGACAAUAAACAACGUACAAUUAUCUAUCAUUACGACUGUGUACAAAAUAUAACGAAGAAUUAAUUCUUAUUCGCGUAAUGAGAUUGUUAUUAUUAUUAUUAGAUAAUUCAAUAAUGCACGUUUUAUUUAAAACAUUGCAAUAUAACUUAUUGUAUAUAUGCGACUUACGAAAUAUGCAUGAAAACGCACGUUUCGAAUAAACGGCAAUAUCCACCUCUUCUCUUCUUUCGCGAUUCGAACUAAGUAUUUAUCAAUGAACGUGACCCAAUUGGUCAACGUCCACGUCAAUCGAUCGACCUUGACAAUUUUACCGAAUAUUUAAAAUAAUCUAUAUCGAUUAUGGAACUUACGCAAAAGAUUACCGAAUCUUAAAAGAUUAUUUCUCUCAAAUUUAAAAUCGUGCGCUUAUUUGUAUGCCUUGAAAUAUUAAAAAUAAUUUUAAUAAAUAUAUAAAAAUCAAAAUUAUUUUUUAAAAUUAAAAAAAAAAAUUGUUCGACUUCAAUUCAAAUCUAAUUGAUUUCUAUAUCGAUCAUGUCUUAUGAUUAUCGUCAUAUUUAUAUAUGAUGAAAUAAUUAAGAAAAAACACAUAUCAUAUAGCAAUGUGCAUGAAAACUAAUUAUUUGUAUAUUUUUUAUUUUUUUUUAUUUUUAUUAUCUUAAAAUAUAACUGAAUAUAUAUAUAUAUUAUUAAAAUAUUUCUAUAUGUAUUCUUUAUUCUCCAACAUUUUUUUAUUCUAUAACGUAUUCAAAUAUGAAAAAUCAUUGAAAAUAUUAGUGCUUCCAUCUUUUAAGGAUAUAAAAUAACAAAACAUACAUAGAUCAUUACUGAUAUUGGUAGUAGGCAACGACGGUCUUGGUCGAUAAUAUGAACAUGAAACGACUGUUGGUAAUACGAAGCUUUCGAUGCACGACGAAACAAAAGAAUAGAUUUACGCAAUAAAGAAGUAUACCUUGAUCAUGGAUCGAUGAAUCAAAUUCAUUCAUUAGCAUUUAAUACUCCAGAAUAACAUUUUUUACACAUAUGAAAACCGAAUAUUUCGAAUCGGUUUCUAAGAAUACUUGUUUUAAAUUUGACCGCGUUUGCGAUGAGCGAUGUGGCGUGUGCAUCGGCACGUAUGCCGAAAUAUGUUCUGUUCUAUGUUAAGAAAUAAAGUUGAAUUGUAUUAUUUUACCGAAUCGCAUUUUGUACCAUUGUAAAUUUAUGAAUUUGUUAAAUAAAAAGAGACAAUAAAAUA